AUUUUUCAAUUUAAUUUUUUGUUGUUUUUUUACAAAUCGAAUAACCCCAUUUUAAAUUUUAAUCGUGCUCGAUUGUGCCGAGGUCAAGAGAUUUAGACUUGGUGGGGUAUAAUAUAGUGAGACCUCAAAAUCCACGCCAGUUCCAAAAUUAAAGUCAACAUGAAAUUACUGAUUGUCCUUUUCCUUUUAUUUGCCACUGCUAUGGCCCUGGAUUGCUGGUGUGAAUAUGACGAUUAUGUUGAUUAUGAGUUUAUUAAUCGCUUUAAAAGGGACCUUAAGAGACAAAAGCGAUGCACUUGGACAUGUGGCCCAUGGGGUUAAACAAUCAAAUUUAAAGCAAACUUUGUUUUCUUAAAAAAUAAUAAAAAAAAACCGUUAAGUACUGGGAUUCAAAGAUAUUCGUAAAAUCAGGAAUUUUAUAAAAAAAAUAAAAUUUUACAAC